rnacentral:rRNA from 1 species
AUUGAACGCUGGCGGCAUGCCUUACACAUGCAAGUCGAACGGUAACAGGUCUUCGGAUGCUGACGAGUGGCGAACGGGUGAGUAAUACAUCGAAACGUGCCCAGACGUGGGGGAUAACGAGGCGAAAGCUUUGCUAAUACCGCAUACGAUCUAAGGAUGAAAGCAGGGGACCGCAAGGCCUUGCGCGUUUGGAGCGGCCGAUGGCAGAUUAGGUAGUUGGUGGGAUAAAAGCUUACCAAGCCGACGAUCUGUAGCUGGUCUGAGAGGACGACCAGCCACACUGGGACUGAGACACGGCCCAGACUCCUACGGGAGGCAGCAGUGGGGAAUUUUGGACAAUGGGCGAAAGCCUGAUCCAGCAAUGCCGCGUGCAGGAUGAAGGCCUUCGGGUUGUAAACUGCUUUUGUACGGAACGAAAAGGCUCUGGCUAAUACCUGGGGCACAUGACGGUACCGUAAGAAUAAGCACCGGCUAACUACGUG